rnacentral:rRNA from 1 species
UACGUAGGGUGCAAGCGUUGUCCGGAAUUAUUGGGCGUAAAGAGCUCGUAGGCGGUCUGUCGCGUCGGCUGUGAAAACUCGGGGCUCAACCCCGAGCCUGCAGUCGAUACGGGCAGACUAGAGUCCGGCAGGGGAGACUGGAAUUCCUGGUGUAGCGGUGGAAUGCGCAGAUAUCAGGAGGAACACCGAUGGCGAAGGCAGGUCACUGGGCCGCAACUGACGCUGAGGAGCGAAAGCAUGGGGAGCGAACAGG